AGAGUUUGAUCCUGGCUCAGAUUGAACGCUGGCGGCAUGGCUAAAACAUGCAAGUCGAACGGAUCCGCAAGGAUUAGUGGCGGAAGGGUCAGUAAUACGAUCGAAUGUACCCCGAGGUGGGGGAUAGGCAUGGGAAACUGUGCGUAAUACCCCAUGUGGUCUACGGACUAAAGAUUUAUCGCCUUGGGAGCAGCGAUCGUCCUAUCAGGUAGUUGGCGGGGUAACGGCCCACCAAGCCUAAGACGGGUAGCGGGUGUGAGAGCACGGCCCGCGACAUCGGGACUGAGACACUGCCCGGACUCCUACGGGAGGCUGCAGUAACGAAUAUUCCGCAAUGCGCGAAAGCGUGACGGAGCAAUGCCGCGUGCAGGAUGAAGCGGUUUCGCCGUGUAAACUGCUGUCAGGGGUCGGAAACACUGUCCGCCCCAGAGAAAGGGACGA
rnacentral:rRNA from 1 species